rnacentral:lncRNA from 1 species
UUGAAAGGUUUUAAUUAGUAUACUGUAGAUGCAGCACAGAUCUAAAAUGAUGUCUAGUCGUUUUUCAUAUAAUUUGAUCAAGACCUUUUUGUUUUGGAUAAAAUGCAAUGAAGACUGUGUGGGGAAAACAGCCAAAGUAUUUUAAAAAUCUUAUGGGGCCUCCAUUCCAACUAAGUACUAAACUAAACCAGAAUUUCCAACUAUCAUUCCUCGUGUAUUAGGAAGAAAAAGAUCUAAAACAUUUAUCAAACCUUUAAAAUACAAAGAGAAAUGGAAAAAUUAACAAUUGCUUCACCCCAGGAUUUUAAGAGACUGGAUUCCACAUGUAGAUUGUUUCUAAAAGUAAAUCCUAUCCCCUCCAAAGAUACCAUAAAAUAAACUAUUUUAAAAUACC